AUUGAACGCUGGCGGCAUGCUUUACACAUGCGAGUCGAACGGCAGCGCGGGCUUCGGCCUGGCGGCGAGUGGCGAACGGGUGAGUAAUACAUCGGAACGUGCCCAGUAGUGGGGGAUAGCUCGGCGAAAGCCGGAUUAAUACCGCAUACGACCUGAGGGUGAAAGCGGGGGAUCUUCGGACCUCGCGCUAUUGGAGCGGCCGAUGGCAGAUUAGCUAGUUGGUGGGGUAAAGGCCUACCAAGGCGACGAUCUGUAGCUGGUCUGAGAGGACGACCAGCCGCACUGGGACUGAGACACGGCCCAGACUCCUACGGGAGGCAGCAGUGGGGAAUUUUGGACAAUGGGCGAAAGCCUGAUCCAGCAAUGCCGCGUGUGUGAUGAAGGCCUUCGGGUUGUAAAGCACUUUUGGCGGGAACGAAAAGGACUGUGCCAAUACCACGGUUCGAUGACGGUACCCGCAGAAUAAGCACCGGCUAACUACGUG
rnacentral:rRNA from 1 species